CACCACAACUGGAUUAAAGGGCCGCAGCGUUAGGAAGGCUGAGCACCACUGCUUUAGGAGCUAGAACUUUGCCAGGGGAGUCCACGGCAACUGGGGUGUAGCUGGAGGGUUCCUAGCUCAGUCCUAUUCCCAUCUUUGCCUCCUGACUAGGGGAUACAGUGUCUGUCACCCACAUGCUCCUGCCGCCAUGGAGGAGCUGGUACCACACCUUCGCCCACCGUGGUGAACUGUGUCUCCCUCAAACUACAGGCGGAAACAGACCACUCCUCCCUUAGCGGCUGCUUGUCAACCGGGAAAGUCACUCACACCAUUGUUGCUUGUUUCGGGUCAGAGUGAAAUCAGGAUCCAAUGGUGAGGACCGUGUCCUGUUGCCGUGGAAACGAUUGUGCUGUCACCAGGUUAGCGCUGUGGUUUCACAGCGCAGAGAGGAAGCAGAUGGUCUGGAAAAGAAGGGUUGGAAGAAGGUUGGUAGGAGCGUAAAUGAUAAGCAGGGACGACGUCACCGUAGCUUUACAAAAAGCCACUUAGGAAGAAAGGGCUCAGCCCGAUGACACUACAAAGCAUUUUCCAGUGAGAGGGAUGCCUCAGGUACCUUAACUUAGAAUGGAGUGCAGUCUCUGAACACCGGACAGCUGUGUUGGUGAAUUUAGAGCCCACACAGUAAAGUCAGGUGCACCGUCUUGACCCUGACCCAAUCCUGCAUCUACCUUGCAACUCUGGAAACCAGCAUCCACUGACAAGACAACGAAACUGGGAUAUUCUGAGAUGGACAACAUGCUGAUUUUUAAAACUGUUAGCCCAGAAUCUUUCUGUCAUGAUACUGUUCAUUUAAAGAGCAAAUAAAUCCCUAAAGCUUAUUGUCAUGGUA